ensembl:lincRNA
UGAUGUCACAGCCUGCGUAUUGUGAGCUCCUUGGCGAUGGAGGCUGGGUCUGAUUCACUCCACAGGGUCCAAGGAAUCGUUCAAUAAAUCCUUGAAUGGACCAUUGUCCAUUCCUGCCAUCCAUCCUUCCAGCCAUGCAAUCAUCCACUCGUCAAGUGGGUCUUUUAGGACUUGGUCUUAUGUAGGGAACUCCCCCUUCAAAGCAGCCUGCUAGAACACGGGACCCUCUGGUCGGCGCAUUAUCUCUGAGAGCCUCCCUUGGAGCUGAAACAACGUACCCCAGGUGUUCUGCCCUCUUCCUAACUCUGCCGCCUGCAAGAUCACUGCCAGAGCCCCUCAGGCUGCACCUGCCCCCAGGGCAACCCUGAAAAGAACUGGGGGCAAUGACUGGUUUCCACAAAGCUUUCCUGAAGGCGUUUUGCUGCAGAAAGACCGCUCUAGCAGCCGUGAGCAGGAAGCAUGUGCCCAGACCCCAGGACCUCAGGAAAACCAGCCCCCAGGUCAUGGUUCGUGGCAGCAGCCCAGCCAUCACCUGUACAGGCCCCUGCCAGUCAGGUGUGCGCCUCAGCCAUUCAGUCCGGGCUGCUGCUGUCGGGGUAGGGACUCCUGAGGAUGGAAGAAUGGAAGGCCUUGCCAGCCCCAGAGGACACGCUGAUGGUCGCUCACCGCUUAUUCCUUCAACGGACAUCGACCAAGAAGAGACCGAAGAACAUCACCCUGGCUGUUGUAUACAGAACGCUUCAAAGAAGGAAGAGAUCCGAAGCAGGGAGACAAUUAGAAGCCUGCAAGAGCAAACCAGGCAAGAGAUGGCUUGGACCAGUGCAGUAGCAGUGCAGAUGAGAUUAUUACUAUGUGUGCUGUGCUGGCUGCUAAGGGCCGAGUGUGGGACUCAGAAGCAGUCCUUUCCUUCCAGGAAACACGGGUGCCCAGAAGAGGAGUGUUGUAAUUCCCACUGAGGACACUCAAGGGGAGCCAAUGGAACCACUCGGUGCUCCAAAGAGAGAGGGCUCUACCCCUGGGCAAGGUGCUGCCAGACUUCCUCCGUGAGUCGGCCUCCCCCACACCAUGCCCCCGGCUGGUGGACCCAGGACCACGCAGCAGGUCAGCCAUCUCCACAGCCAACAUUCAGAGGAGGGAUCAACCCUGUGGAAAAGGUGGGGACAUAGAGACCAGGGAGAUGCAAAAAAGCCAUGUGCCCCAAGUUGGUCUCAAAUGUCUCAUCUGCUCAAGAUUUGAACCUCAGGACUUUCUGAGUCUGCGUUUUGCCUUUCCAGAACCACAGACCUCCCUUCCCUCUCCCUCUCUGCACUUGUUCCGCUUCCUACCCUACCUACCCCCCAGGUGCUAUUCAGUGACAGUCUGCUCAGUCACAUGCCCACCUCCUCCACACAUCCUUAAGCUGGGACAGCCAAUUCUGUGAUAGCUGGAAUCAGGAUGCUAGCAAGAAUUACAGUCUGCCACCUGUUGGAAAGAAGCACAUGAGGGGGGUCUCCCCCUCUAGACUGAGACCAUUGGGGCAACCAAACCUAUAUUCUAUUCAUCUCCAUGCUCCUCUAUACUACCCAGCCACACAGCCUUGUUCCAAGUGCUGUGCCAAAGAGGAACACAAAGAAGAUGAUUCUACUCAAGGUCCUUUCUCCGGGCCCGUUUCUUCACAAGAUGGUGGGACUAAAUCAAAGGUUUAAAAAGGCCAGGGGAUAAGCUCUACACAACCUGCCUGUCCUGACUGCCUCUCUGACCUCACCUCCUAUAUUUUAGCAGCACUGGCCUUAUUUUCCCCUCAAGACGUCAGUCAGCUCUGCCACAGGACCUUUGCACCUGCUGUUUUUACUUCUGGGAAUGGUCUUCCCCCAGGCUUCCCCAGGGCUCUCUCCUCCACUCCCUCAGGUCAUCCAUUCCCUGACCAUGCUGUACAAACUGUGCCAUUCCCCUCCCUCAGAAUUCUGUCUCCCAAUUCUGCUCUAUUUUUCUCUGACACAUGUAUUGGCAUCUUACAUUUUCGAGCAAUCUUAGGCUGUUAGCUAGCUACCUCAGCAUUACCUAGGGAGCUGGUUUAAAAGAUUCCUGGCCCCCACCAUGCCAGCUAAAUCAGGAU